GACGAACGCUGGCGGCGUGCUUAACACAUGCAAGUCGAACGGAAAGGCCCUGCUUUUGUGGGGUGCUCGAGUGGCGAACGGGUGAGUAACACGUGAGUAACCUGCCCUUGACUUUGGGAUAACUUCAGGAAACUGGGGCUAAUACCGGGUAGGAGCUCCUGCUGCAUGGUGGGGGUUGGAAAGUUUCGGCGGUUGGGGAUGGACUCGCGGCUUAUCAGCUUGUUGGUGUGGUAGUGGCGUACCAAGGCUUUGACGGGUAGGCGGCCUGAGAGGGUGACCGGCCACAAUGGGACUGAGAUACGGCCCAGAAUCCUACGGGAGGCAGCAGGGGGAAAUAUUGCAGAGUGGGCGGAAGCGUGAUGUAGCAACGCCGCGUGCGGGAUGACGGCCUUCGGGGGGUAAACCGCUUUCGCCUGUGACGAAGCGUGAGUGACGGUAAUGGGUAAAGAAGCACCGGCUAACUACGUG
rnacentral:rRNA from 1 species